rnacentral:lncRNA from 1 species
GAAAGGAGCUGAGUUGAUUGAAAUAACAGAGGAGCUACCCUUUAGUGGAGCUGAGAUCUGGAAGUGUCUUCCACGUUAAAGUAAUGGGCUCUGUUUCCAGAAUGUGUGGACUCCCUGUUUCCACCACUCUCCCUGCUCUCCCUGGGGCCUCUCCUUCAAGCCUCUACAACAGUGCCCCUUGCACCAGCUGGCCAGCUGGCCCUGCCCUGUCCUGCCUGCCUCCAGCCCCCACG